CACAAAUUUAGUUAUCAUCACCUUGUAAACCAGAAAGUAUAAAUACCGACGUGGUCAAUCUUCCUUUUAAACAACGAAAUGAAGUUUAUCGUGAUCUGUGCCGUUCUACUGUGCCCUAUUUAUGCCCUUGUGUGCCCGCCAAAUUAUUGCUCCACCGUUGAUUGCAGCGACGAACCUUAUUCGUGUGAAGAAGGGCAGGUUAUAUCCAAAGGAUUUUGCGGCUGCUGCAACAUAUGCGUCACACUUUUAAAUGAAGGAGAGACUUGUAUACUUUUGGGAAUUGGAGGGCCACCACCACGUGCCCGUUGUGCACCGGGGUUGGAAUGUCUGAACAGGAAGUGCCAAAAAAUUUAACGAUCUUUGUUGUAAUUUUAUUUAACAAGAUAAAAUAAAUUCGUGCGUUCACAA